rnacentral:rRNA from 1 species
GAUUUUCUGUAUACCAACACUAAUGCACCGGAUUUCAUCAGAACUCCAAAAUUAAGCAUAUUUGGACGAGAAUAGUAUUAGGAUGGAUGACUCCCUGGGAGUCCUCUAUUGCAUCUCA